rnacentral:piRNA from 1 species
UAUAUGGGGGCCUUGACCAGUGCUCAGCC